GUCUUCGAGUCGUUGAUUUCACACUGCCGAGAAAAGCCUCUAGAUAGAAAAUAGGUGCCCGUACCGCAAACCGACACAGGUAGUCAAGAUGAGAAUUCUAAGGUGAGCGAGCGAACUCUCGUUAAGGAACUCGGCAAAAUGACCCCGUAACUUCGGGAGAAGGGGUGCUCUUUAGGGUUAACGCCCAGAAGAGCCGCAGUGAAUAGGCCCAAGCGACUGUUUAUCAAAAACACAGGUCUCUGCUAAACCGUAAGGUGAUGUAUAGGGGCUGACGCCUGCCCGGUGCUGGAAGGUUAAGAGGAGUGGUUAGCUUCUGCGAAGCUACGAAUCGAAGCCCCAGUAAACGGCGGCCGUAACUAUAACGGUCCUAAGGUAGCGAAAUUCCUUGUCGGGUAAGUUCCGACCCGCACGAAAGGCGUAACGAUUUGGGCACUGUCUCAACGAGAGACUCGGUGAAAUCAUAGUACCUGUGAAGAUGCAGGUUACCCGCGACAGGACGGAAAGACCCCGUGGAGCUUUACUGUAGCCUGAUAUUGAAAUUCGGCACAGCUUGUACAGGAUAGGUAGGAGCCUUUGAAACGUGAGCGCUAGCUUACGUGGAGGCGCUGGUGGGAUACUACCCUAGCUGUGUUGGCUUUCUAACCCGCACCACUUAUCGUGGUGGGAGACAGUGUCA
rnacentral:rRNA from 1 species